UUCUGUGUGGCUUAGAUGGUAAAGAAUCUACCUGCAAUGUGGGAGACCCAGGUUCGAUCCCUGGGUUGGAAA
rnacentral:tRNA from 1 species